UGGUGCAGCCCGGAGGGGCACGAGCCGUGGGCACGCGCCGAGCCCUAACGGUACCGGCUCCUCACGGCCCCGGCUGCUGCCCGUUGUCCUGCGGCUCUUCGGGCCGCUGUAGUUGAACGGGGAGGCGCAGGAAGGGCAGCCGGGCCGCCCGCUGCGAUGUGCCCGAGGAGGGCGGCCUGCCCGCGGGACAAUGCUCCGGGCAGCGCGAUGGAGCCCCGUGCGCGGAGCCGCCCUGGAGCGGCCGGAGGAGGAGAGUCCGGUGUGAGGGUGGCUGACUGUCUGUGCCAAGCAGUUGAGGAAGAGGAAGGAAACCACUUGGGUGACUUUUCCUGGAGGGAGAGGGACUUCUCUGAUCUAAUUGGGAAAAUGUUACUCGGAAUCAUGGACAACUACAAGAAGCACUUCUAAGGCGGAGGACAGGAGAGGAGCCAGUAUCUUACCUGGCUAUUAAUAGCAGUGUCUUGUCUGAAAGAGAGCAGAUCACCAAAGCAUGAUGAGCAAGAAAGCACUUUCUCUUUCCUCCAUACCAGAAGACAACACCAGUUUAAGGUUUGACGGCUUCUGUGGGUGGCUUAUGAGCUGAACCUUCUCUCCAAACACAAGGACACAGGGGUCUGUCACAUAUCCCAUGAAGAACCAUCACCUAGAAACUGUGCUUCACCUCGUGAGAAUCUCAGUCAGGGAUCCUUCAGUGUGUGUCACAUGGACGAAAAGAAAGGGGGAAACUCCUCCUCCUGCAUGAACACGGCCACAGAAUUGUCUUAAAGGUGCCGAGUUCCUACAAUCCACGUGCAGCACACACAGCCCUCUUCCCACCCAGACCAUCCCAGCAGGGAAGUCCUGCUGGGCCAGCUCAGCCCCAUGGGUAAACCUGGCUGUGGACUUGCACAAACACCAUGAGUACCAUCAAGCUAAAUUAUAAGUUAAAACUAGAGGUCAUCCAAGUGAUGGUUUCUAAGCACCUUCCAAGAGAAGUGGGAGAAACUCGUUGCCCAAAACUUCUGAAGCUGUGCUGGAACCCAUUGUAGGUGAUCUACUGAGUCAGCUACAUAAAGACUGCAGACUCAGAAAUAAGAAUGUAGAAAUGUGUGACUCACAUUAUAAGUAGAAAUGCAUGUAUAACUUCUGGCUCCAAGUACUUCUACCUGCUUCUAGUGUCUAGAACACGAAAUUGUAUGGAGGCUUUGCUCUUGUGACUGAGGCUGCAGUACAGAGGAGUGCAUUAACCUAGAGAGGUGGUACAUAUCCAUGGUCAGCUCACCGUUUUCUCACAUGCUUGUUUUCUAGUGGUGCUCAUGGAGGCUGUGAUCAGACAGCAAACUGUAUGGUCUUCUUAAGCUAAGUUGACCCAGCUUUGACUGUCAUUUUUGACCAGACACAUCUGGGUGAGCCCUGGGUGCUCUGCAACUGAGCAGCAUAAGAAUAUCUAAAGCCUGCUGCUAACAGUGGGACACUUCUUUGCUGACAUACCAAACCAUUAUAACAGUAUCCAUCACAGGUUAAUAGUCGGUGUGUGAGUGAAUGAGUGAUGUGUGAAGAGGUGUCGCAUCUGGUCCUUGUGCUGUUUCUGCUAUCACAAAGAAGAAUAGGAGCUGUAAAAUAAAAAGGGUGUAUUUAAUGUCAGGAGAAAACAUAGGCCCACCUAUGAUGCUAGCUCAGGCACAAGAGCGUGGCAGCCAAGAUGGG